GAAGAACUGAAUCUGCCCCUAGCCAGCUGCAAGACUCGAGAGGGCAUGCCUGCACGUUUCGGAAGAUGUGGGAAAAAAGCCAUUUGUGGGCAUGCCACUGUGAAAAGACCAUCUCUUUUCAGCAUGGGGCAGGAGAGCUGAGUUGCAGAUGGGACCACCUACAAAUAUUGUUGGUUUGACCUGGACAAGAACUCAGAGACAGACUGUAUUUCUCAAUGCAAGCUCGUGGAGAGACCGAUCGAGGGAAGCUGCUGCUGCUGUAUCAGACAAAUGAUCAGCUUAUAAAUGGCCUUUUUCCUCUAAACAAGGAUCUGGCACUAGAAGUGGCAGCGCUUUUAGCUCAGAACAACAACAACGACCAAAAAAAAAAA